rnacentral:rRNA from 1 species
GAUGAACGCUGGCGGCGUGCUUAACACAUGCAAGUCGAACGAAGCACUUUUACAGAUUUCUUCGGAAUGAAGUUUUAGUGACUGAGUGGCGGACGGGUGAGUAACGCGUGGGUAACCUGCCUCACACAGGGGGAUAACAGUUGGAAACGGCUGCUAAUACCGCAUAAGCGCACAGUACCGCAUGGUACAGUGUGAAAAACUCAGGUGGUGUGAGAUGGACCCGCGUCUGAUUAGCUAGUUGGCAGGGCAACGGCCUACCAAGGCGACGACCAGGCGCCGACCUGAGAGGGUGACCGGCCACGUUGGGACUGGGACACGGCCCAAACUCCGACGGGAGGCAGCAGUGGGGAAUAUUGCACAAUGGGGGAAACCCUGAUGCAGCGACGCCGCGUGAGCGAAGAAGUAUUUCGGUAUGUAAAGCUCUAUCAGCAGGGAAGAAGAAAUGACGGUACCUGACUAAGAAGCACCGGCUAAAUACGUGCCAGCAGCCGCCGUAA